GAUGAACGCUAGCGGGAGGCUUAACACAUGCAAGUCGAGGGGCAGCAUAGGGUAGCAAUACUCUGAUGGCGACCGGCAAACGGGUGAGUAACGCGUAUGCAACCUACCCUGUACAGGGGGAUAACCCGGAGAAAUUCGGACUAAUAUCCCGUAAUAAUAUCCGGAGGCAUCUUUGGAUAUUUAAAGUUUCGACGGUACGGGAUGGGCAUGCGUAACAUUAGCUGGUUGGUAAGGUAACGGCUUACCAAGGCUAUGAUGUUUAGGGGUCCUGAGAGGGUGGUCCCCCACACUGGUACUGAGACACGGACCAGACUCCUACGGGAGGCAGCAGUGAGGAAUAUUGGUCAAUGGGCGCAAGCCUGAACCAGCCAUCCCGCGUGCAGGAAGACGGCCCUAUGGGUUGUAAACUGCUUUUCCAGGGAGAGAACUUACGCACGUGUUGCGUGACUGACGGUACCUGGGAAUAAGCAUCGGCUAACUCCGUG
rnacentral:rRNA from 1 species